rnacentral:lncRNA from 1 species
AUCUGUAUGUAUGUGUGCACAGGUGCCUGUGCAUGUGUACAUGUGUGCAUAGACCUGUAUGUACAUCUGUCUCCAUGUACGUAUGUCUGUGUGGCACAGAUGCGAUACUGCGGGUGCAUCUGCAUAUGUGUGCACAGGUGCCUGUGCAUGUGUACAUGUGUGCAUAGACCUGUGUGUGCAUCUGUCUCCAUGUACGUAUGUCUGUGUGUGGCACAGAUGGGAUACUGCGGGUGCAUCUGCAUGUGUGUACACAGGUGCCUGUGCAUGUGUACAUGUGUGCAUAGACCUGUAUGUGCAUCUGUCUCCAUGUACGUAUG